rnacentral:rRNA from 1 species
AUUGAACGCUGGCGGUAGGCCUAACACAUGCAAGUCGAACGCGAAAGUCCUUCGGGAUGAGUAGAGUGGCGGACGGGUGAGUAACGCGUAGGAAUCUGUCCUGUAGUGGGGGAUAACGUUUCGAAAGGAACGCUAAUACCGCAUACGCCCUACGGGGGAAAGCGGGGGAUCUUCGGACCUCGUGCUAUAGGAGGAGCCUGCGUCGGAUUAGCUAGUUGGUGAGGUAAAGGCUCACCAAGGCGACGAUCCGUAGCUGGUCUGAGAGGAUGAUCAGCCACACCGGAACUGAGACACGGUCCGGACUCCUACGGGAGGCAGCAGUGGGGAAUAUUGCGCAAUGGGCGAAAGCCUGACGCAGCCAUACCGCGUGUGUGAAGAAGGCCUUCGGGUUGUAAAGCACUUUCAGUGGGGAGGAAAAGCUGGUGGCUAAUAUCCAUCGGCCGUGACGCUACCCGCAGAAGAAGCACCGGCUAAUUCCGCGCCAGCCGCCGCAGUAAAAC